rnacentral:lncRNA from 1 species
GUUAGUAAGAGAAAAAUCUGAGAGAAUGAGAGAUGAAGGGCUUUUUCUCUGGAUACACACAUUUCUUAGGCAAAGGAAAAGCUUAUAGAGGGUGUUGAAAGGCCAGGACUCAUGCAGUAUCAUCAUAAAGCACAUAUGUUUUCCCCACACCUGUUGAAAUCUGCUCUAUGGGGAUAGAUUUCUUCCACUCCAGAGUAAAAUCUCCACCUAGUCCCAAAGCUUAUUUGCUCACUCUUAGACCGCAAGAAACCCCCACGCCAUUUUGGUAAAAAAAAAAAAAAGUUUCAGUUCUGUAGUUAAUAUUUCCAGUCCAGUAUAAUAAUCAAACGUCUGAAGUUAUUCAAAGAUACUUUCUCCUCUCACUCAAGUCUGGUGCUGUCUGGAAAUGGGAAAGCGAGGAGGAAGACAGGCUCAACUUUUCUGAUGUUUCCAGCCUCUUAAGGGGAGGGAAAGAUCCCAUUGUGCUAUCACUGGUGUGAGUAGCUACACUGUUUAGUGGGACUGGAAUAUGUAUAAAGCGGAUUUUUUUUAUUUUGUGGAGCACUCCAUCCCUAGGGAGCUGUUCUCAAUAGGGCAGAGGUACGAGAGAAGAAACUGCCACCCUUCCUCCAUGCUGGCAAGGAAGGUUGAAAUUCUCUUUGUCUCCAAUACAACUCUUUUAUAACCCCAGGUGUCUGGGGCCAAGGGACACAAAAAAGAUUUUAGACACCACUUUGCACAGUGUGAAUAGAAGGCCUUGCACCUCAAUUUGGGCUGUGGGUGUAUUUCUCAUGUAUUGUUAUGAGGCAAGCAGCCCCUAAGGAGGACACUGCAGUCAGAAAUGCCAAUUCCAAAAUUACUUGUCACCUUACUGCCUGACUUUGCUUAUAGAUCAUUCUUAACAUACAGACCCUUUCCCCGUGACUACACAGUGCCAUUGAUUACAUUCAUUUCACUUUAGAUAUUUCUGUUUCUAGCCUCUGUUCCAGCACUGCAGUGAUGAAUUCAAGUUCCCUCUGUGCUCUGCAAAAUGCCUGCAGCAAACAGCUCAUCAAGAGAAUCCUACAGAAAUGCCUCUACAGCUGGGGUCAGAGUGGCUUUUGAGACCUUCUUUAACUCAGAGGGAGAGAGCAAAACAAAUUCUUUCAAGCUGAUUAUUACCUGGAAGAUUCUCCCACUGUAAGGUUGUUUCUUAUCUUCUUCUACGAGACGUCGCCCUUCUGAAAGAGUUGGAAGUCCAGCAUGGGUCUCACUGGGCAAAAUCAAGGCGUCUGCAGAGCUGUGAUCCUUCUGGAGGCUCUGGCGGAGAAUCUGUUUCCUCCAGAAGCAGCUUCUUGAGACAUUCACAUUCUUUGGUUUAUGGUCUCCUUCCUCCAUCUUCAAAGCCAGCAACAGUGGGUUAGGUCCUUCUCUUGUUGAAUCUCUGAUUGACUGUAGCUGGAAAAUGUUCUCCACUUUUAAGAACCCCUAUGAUUAGAUUGGCGUUGGUUCGAAAACUCCGGAGCUUUCUGGGUGAAAUCUGAAACUAGCUGGCCCCCUAACAUGGAGGACCAGGAGAAACCAAGGGGAGAGGCGGAUCCAGAUUGGGAGGUGGCAGUUUUAAUAAACCAGGGAACUUACAAACGAAGUUUGUCUUGGGUGGCUGCAAGAUGAGUAGAUCUCUGCCCUUACCCCCCAGGAUCUUAAGUUUUAUAGAGGCCUUAACGGGGUCAGUCAUGCAUUCAGUCCAGAUGGUCCCAACAUCUUACUCUCUCAAGGCUAUGUUCUUGAAACAGCUCCUAGUGUGGGAAUGGUGGGCCACACGUACAACCCAAGGACAGGAGAAGGGUGAGGAGGUUCUGAUUGCCCUGGGUCCAGCUAGUGGGUCAGCUUGCCGGCUAUGACCUCUCUAUGACCUCGUCCAACAAUUGGGCCCACUUGGAUAAUCAAGACAAGCUACGCAUCUCAAGGUGCAUACCCUUAAAGACCCUGCAUCUGUAAUAUGGUUCAUGGAUCCGGGCUGUUCUGCAUCAAAGCCAUCAAAGGCACUUUGAAUCUGGAGGGAGCACGUUACAGAAGAAAGAGAAACAUGAGCUGCAGUUGUUGUUAGACCUUGAGUGCAUUUCCAGUUCUGACCUUCACAAGCUCUGUAAGCAAGUGUAUUCUCCUGACGUUUCUGAUCCUGGGAUUUUUUAUCUGCAAAUGGUGAUAAAUCCAAGUUAAGAAAGUUAGUAACAUUCACCUUGUUAAUAAUUACAUGCUACACAUAUGUAAGUUAUUAUUCAGAGAAGUCAGUUUCUGGCUACAACGUUAGAAUGACUAAUUAUUAGCUGAGGGUAAGACUUUUAAAAUGUCACAAAGCAUAGUGUCAUCUGGGAAGGAAGCCAUUGAAAAUAAGAUGAGAAAUGUUACUAACACAAAUUUUACUUGAUCAAAAUUUUCUAAGGGAUUUCUCUGGUUACAAAAAUGUCACCACAGCACAACCUUGCAUUAGAUUCACUUAUUUAGCCAUAAGACUGGGUGGAU